CCUACGGGGUGCAGCAGUGGGGAAUAUUGGGCAAUGGGCGCAAGCCUGACCCAGCAACGCCGCGUGAAGGAAGAAGGCUUUCGGGUCGUAAACUUCUUUUAUGAGGGAAGAGCAGAAGACGGUACCUCUUGAAUAAGCUACGGCUAACUACGUCCCAGCAGCCGCGGUAAUACGUAGGUGGCAAGCGUGGUCCGGAUUUAGUGGGUGUAAAGGGCGUGUAGCCGGGCUGACAAGUCAGAUGUGAAAGCCGGGGGCUCAACCCCCGAACUGCAUUGGAAACUGUUGGUCUUGAGUAUCGGAGAGGCAGGCGGAAUUCCUAGUGUAGCGGUGAAAUGCGUAGAUAUAAGGAGGAACACCAGUGGCGAAGGCGGCCUGCUGGACGGCAACUGACGGUGAGGCGCGAAAGCGUGGGGAGCAAACAGGAUUAGAUACCCUUGUAGUC
rnacentral:rRNA from 1 species